GGUCCCAUGCAGCCCUGCAGGAUAAGCCUGAAGUAUCAUUAUUGAGCCGCACUGCAAUGUCUGCGGGCCAGUGGCGCAAUGGAUAACGCGUCUGACUACGGAUCAGAAGAUUCCAGAUGUAAAUAAACAUUUUCGCGCGCGCACACCCGCCAGAGAAAGGAAAUUCACGAGAAAUUACAGUGCCCAGGAACCAUGAAACUGCUUGGCAGAGACCCACGAGAAUCUACGUUUCCCCCUCUUCACAGCUGCUCCAUGCGAGGAACAGGAAAUGACAGAGCAAGGAAAGACCUAGGAAGGAAAAUGGGAAGCAUCCCUGAAGGCAACAAGCCCACAGAUGUUGAGGACCCUCCAGCCAAUCUGAUGGAGGCGUUGAUGGGGCUGCAUCUCAUCCAUCUGCGUUGUCUUUGCUCUUCAUUAAAAAUUGCUUUGUCCACCUCAUGAGCACAAUGUUGGGCAGGUCCUAGGAAUCCCGCCUUGCUCCACUCCAGCUCUCGCACAAACUUCAGCUAGUCACUGGGGAACGAACGAACAAACGAACGAACAUCAUGUAACUACUGGUCUGUGUAGAGCAACAGGAGGAGGACUGA